UAAACGGUUUUUUUUAAAACCACAACCACAACAGCAACUACAAUA
rfam:Populus trichocarpa scaffold_6_contig_62, whole genome shotgun sequence.